GAUGAAGAACGUAGCGAAAUGCGAUACUUGGUGUGAAUUGCAGAAUCCCGUGAACCAUCGAGUCUUUGAACGCAAGUUGCGCCCGAAGCCAUUAGGCCGAGGGCACGCCUGCCUGGGCGUCACACGUCGUUGCCCCCCCAUCUACUCCUUCGGGAUUGCGGGGGGCGGAUGAUGGCCUCCCGUGCGCCUCGCCGCGCGGUUGGCAUAAAUGCCAAGUCCUCGGCGACGCACGCCACGACAAUCGGUGGUUGCGAAACCUCGGUUGCCCGUCGUGUGCGGUCGUCGCGCAUCGAGGGCUCGAAAAAAUUGCCGGGUUCCGGCUCGGCUUUCAACGCGACCCCAGGUCAGGCGGGGUUACCCACUGAAUUUAAGCAUAUCAAUAAGCGGAGG
rnacentral:misc_RNA from 1 species